CAGCUCCAGGUUUUCCUGUGACAAAAGCUCUGACAUGAGCAAAAAAAAAAAAUGAAGUCACUGCAGCUCAGCAAACGAGCGAUAAAAUGAUCUGCAGGGCAGCGUGGAAAAUCUCCCCGGACCUGGAAAUCUCCUGAGUCUGAGGCUGGAAGUGAAACCUGAAGCCAUGGCUGCAGAGAGGAGCUGCUCUCCGUCUGCGGACAGGAGUUGGAUGUUAAAGCAGUUUCAUUUUCAGGCUGUGUGGCCCGGUGGUUGUCUGGGCUGGGUACCUCUGGCUGGAGGCGCCGUCAGCAUCCUGAGGAGACGAGACCAGAAAGUCUCUGAGGGACGAGGCUGAAAAUGAAUAACAGAACUUCAGACCUCGGAGCAGAGCCUACAUAUUUUAAAUUAAAAUGAUUUACUUUCUUGA